rnacentral:rRNA from 1 species
CCUACGGGUGGCAGCAGUGGGGAAUAUUGCACAAUGGGGGAAACACUGAUGCAGCAACGCCGCGUGGGUGAGGAAGUAUUUCGGUAUGUAAAGCCCCAUCAGCAGGGAAGAGAAUGACGGUACCUGACUAAGAAGCAGCGGCUAACUACGUGCCAGCAGCCGCGGGAACACGGAGGGGGCAAGCGUUAUCCGGAUUUACUGGGUGUAAAGGGAGCGUAGAGGGUUGUGAGAGUCCGAAGUGAAAGCCCGCGGCCCAACUGCGGAACGGCUUUGGAAACUGUGUGACUGGAGUGGUAGAGAGGUAAGCGGAAUUCGCGGUGUAGCGGUGAAAUGCGUAGAGAUCGGGAGGAACACCGGCGGCGAAGGCGGCAUACUGGA